rnacentral:rRNA from 1 species
GUAGGUGGCAAGCGUUGUCCGGAAUUAUUGGUCGUAAAGCGCGCGCAGGCGGUUCUUUAAGUCUGAUGUGAAAGCCCACGGCUCAACCGUGGAGGGUCAUUGGAAACUGGAGAACUUGAGUACAGAAGAGGAAAGCGGAAUUCCACGUGUAGCGGUGAAAUGCGUAGAGAUGUGGAGGAACACCAGUGGCGAAGGCGGCUUUCUGGUCUGUAACUGACGCUGAGGCGCGAAAGCGUGGGGAGCAAACAGGGAUUAGAUACCCUGGUAGUCCACGCCGUAAACGAUGAGUGCUAAGUGUUAGGGGGGUUUUACCGCCCCCCUUAGUGCUGCAGCUAACGCAUUAAGCACUCCGCCUGGGGAGUACGGCCGCAAGGCUG